rnacentral:rRNA from 1 species
GAUGAACGCUGGCGGCGUGCCUAAUACAUGCAAGUCGAGCGAACAGACGAGGAGCUUGCUCCUCUGGCGUUAGCGGCGGACGGGUGAGUAACACGUGGAUAACCUACCUAUAAGACUGGGAUAACUUCGGGAAACCGGAGCUAAUACCGGAUAAUAUAUUGAACCGCAUGGUUCAAUAGUGAAAGACGGUUUUGCUGUCACUUAUAGAUGGAUCCGCGCCGCAUUAGCUAGUUGGUAAGGUAACGGCUUACCAAGGCAACGAUGCGUAGCCGACCUGAGAGGGUGAUCGGCCACCCUGGAACUGAGACACGGUCCAGACUCCUACGGGAGGCAGCAGUAGGGAAUCUUCCGCAAUGGGCGAAAGCCUGACGGAGCAACGCCGCGUGAGUGAUGAAGGUCUUCGGAUCGUAAAACUCUGUUAUUAGGGAAGAACAAAUGUGUAAGUAACUAUGCACGUCUUGACGGUACCUAAUCAGAAAGCCACGGCUAACUACGUG